AUUGAACGCUGGCGGCAUGCCUUACACAUGCAAGUCGAACGGUAACGCGGGGCAACCUGGCGACGAGUGGCGAACGGGUGAGUAGUACAUCGGAACGUGCCCAGUAGUGGGGGAUAGCCCGGCGAAAGCCGGAUUAAUACCGCAUACGACCUACGGGUGAAAGCAGGGGAUCGCAAGACCUUGCGCUAUUGGAGCGGCCGAUGUCAGAUUAGGUUGUUGGUGGGGUAAAAGCCUACCAAGCCGACGAUCUGUAGCUGGUCUGAGAGGACGACCAGCCACACUGGGACUGAGACACGGCCCAGACUCCUACGGGAGGCAGCAGUGGGGAAUUUUGGACAAUGGGCGCAAGCCUGAUCCAGCCAUGCCGCGUGCGGGAAGAAGGCCU
rnacentral:rRNA from 1 species